ensembl:snRNA U1 U1 spliceosomal RNA
AUACUUACCUGGCAGGGGAGAUACCAUGAUCCCCAAGGUGGUUUUCCCAGGGUGAGGCUCAUCCAUUGCACUGCUGGUGUGCUGACUCCUGUGAUUUCCCCAAAUGCAGGAAACUCAACUGCAGAAUUUGUGGUAGUGGGGGACUGCGUUUGCACUUUCCCCUG